rnacentral:lncRNA from 1 species
CGGGCACACACAAGCACAUCCACAAAGACACGGAGACACACAUAGACAUAGGCACACAUACAGAGACACACAGACACAGGGACACACGGACACACAUGAACACAGACACACAGACACAGAGACACACAGACACAGGGACACACGGACACACAUGAACACAGACACACAGACACAGAGACACAUAGACACAGAGACACACAGACACAGAGACACAUGGACACACAUGAACACAGACACACAGACACAGAGACACACAGACACAGGAACACACGGACACACAGAGGCACACAUACAGACACACAUGAAGACAGACACACAGACACAUUAAGACAGACACAGAUGCAGAGACACACAGACACAGGAACACAAACACAGAAACACACAGACACACAUUAAGACAGACACACAGACACAGGAACAUACGGACACACAGGGACAAACACAUACAGAUACACAUUAAAACAGACACAGAUGCAGAGACACACAGACACAGGAACACAAACACAGAAACACAGACACACAUUAAGACAGACACACAGACACAGGAACAUACGGACGCACAGGGACACACACACACAGAUACACAUUAAAACAGACAUGUAGACGCAGAGACACACAGACACACAUUAAGACAGACACACAGACGCAGAGACACACACAGACACAGACACAUAUUAAGGCAGACACACAGACACAGAGACACACAGACACAGGAACACAAACACAGAAACACACAGACGCACAUUAAGACAAACACACAGA